rnacentral:rRNA from 1 species
UACCACCCCUUCCCAUCCCGAACAGGACCGUGAAACGACUCCACGCCGAUGAUAGUGCGGAUUGCCCGUGUGAAAGUAGGUAAUCGUCAGGC